rnacentral:rRNA from 1 species
CCUACGGGAGGCAGCAGUGGGGAAUAUUGCACAAUGGGGGAAACCCUGAUGCAGCGACGCCGCGUGAGUGAAGCCGUAUUUCGGUAUGUAAAGCUCUAUCAGCAGGGAAGAUAAUGACGGUACCUGACUAAGAAGGGCCGGCUAACUACGUGCCAGCAGCCGCGGUAAU